UACGUAGGGUCCUAGCGUUGUCCGGAAUUAUUGGGCGUAAAGAGCUCGUAGGCGGUCUGUCGCGUCUGCUGUGAAAACCUAGGGCUUAACUCUGGGCGUGCAGUGGGUACGGGCAGACUAGAGUGCGGUAGGGGAGACUGGAAUUCCUGGUGUAGCGGUGAAAUGCGCAGAUAUCAGGAGGAACACCGGUGGCGAAGGCGGGUCUCUGGGCCGUAACUGACACUGAGACGCGAAAAGCGUGGGGGAGCGAACAGG
rnacentral:rRNA from 1 species